AUGCAAGAGACGUGGUUGCGGCUCCACGGCAUUCCCAGGGUGCAUCGUCGUGAGGAGCGCCUGAUGGAAGGGCUGAAGAUGCUAGGUCGUCCUAUUGUGGUGGAUGAGAUCUCUCUCAUCCGGUUGGGGCCAGUGAGAGUGAAGCUGGCAUGCAAAUCACCGGACAAACUUAAUGGCUUUGUGGAGGUGCGGUUUAAUGGUGAAGGAUACCAAAUUAAGGUGGAGGUGGAGCGGCUCCCAAAACAAACUGGUGAGGGCGGCUCCAGUGGCGCUGGCCCUUCUGAAAAACAACCCCCUUCCUCCUCUGACAGAGUUGGUCGGCCGCGGGAAGCAGGGAAUGGAUCCAAGCCACUUGGGGGCGGCAAGGACUCGGCAAAGCAGCCGUCGGGCGGGGCGCUCGGGUCUGCGGAGCCCAAAGAUGUGGAUAUGGGAGGCCAAGAUGAGGAGCUCGACGACAGUAUCCACGUCACCUCUAUUGAUACAGAGACAUGGGACAAGCUCGGGACGCUGACUAGGGGCACGAUGGCUGUGACGACACAGGAUACAACGGUCAGCCUCCCUCCGCUGGCCCGGACCCUCGCUGGCUCCUUUGACGAGUACGGGUCUCAACAUGGGGCGCCGUCCUUGGCUCCCAUGGAGGUGGAAGUGUACUCUGGCGACACUGGGGCUGCGGCCCCUCGGUCCUUGCUGGCCACUGGUGGGGUGGAUACUGGCUGUGUGCUCAAUGAAGACUCUGCUCCCGCUCCAUCCUCGGGGCGCCGGAGCUCUGGUGGUUUGGUUAGACCUCCCAAGAAGAUGGCGGGCAGGAAACUGGCAUCUAAGGCGGGUGCGGUGAUGGUGGCAGAGCAGAAUCGGGGUGAUCUGGGCGUGGUGCUGGCGUCGGUGGGUGCGGGUGCGAAGGCCAAGCGCUCCAAGGUGACUCCUGUGGCGCUACGAGCCCCCAGCAUGCGUGCCAAGGCCAAGCUGGGCGACAUGUCUUCUCUGGAGAGCGCCAAGCUUCGUACCACAGACAAGAACCUAGAGGUCUCAGACCCGGACUCCGUUGGGGAAACCGCGUGA
rnacentral:rRNA from 1 species